GUCGUCUAACGGUUCAGGACACUAGGUUCUCAUCCUAGAGAUUUGAGGGUUCGAAUCCCUCCGAGGUCACCA
rnacentral:tRNA from 1 species